UACGUAGGGUGCAAGCGUUAAUCGGAAUUACUGGGCGUAAAGCGCACGUAGGCGGCUUUGUAAGUUAGAGGUGAAAGCCCAGGGCUCAACCCUGGAAUUGCCUUUAAGACUGCAUCGCUAGAAUUGUGGAGAGGUAAGUGGAAUUCCGAGUGUAGAGGUGAAAUUCGUAGAUAUUCGGAAGAACACCAGUGGCGAAGGCGACUUACUGGACACAUAUUGACGCUGAGGUGCGAAAGCGUGGGGAGCAAACAGG
rnacentral:rRNA from 1 species